GGUGAAAUGGCUGAAUUAUAAGCGAUAAAUUGUAAAUUUAUAAAUGAAUAUCAAAAUUCUUUCACCA
rnacentral:tRNA from 1 species